UACGUAGGGUGCGAGCGUUGUCCGGAAUUACUGGGCGUAAAGAGCUCGUAGGUGGUUUGUCGCGUUGUCCGUGAAAACUCACAACUCAAUUGUGGGCGUGCGGGCGAUACGGGCAGACUGGAGUACUGCAGGGGAGACUGGAAUUCCUGGUGUAGCGGUGGAAUGCGCAGAUAUCAGGAGGAACACCGGUGGCGAAGGCGGGUCUCUGGGCAGUAACUGACGCUGAGGAGCGAAAGCGUGGGGGAGCAAACAGG
rnacentral:rRNA from 1 species